GAUCGCGUAGCUCAGUUGGCAGAGCAUUGGGCUAGUAUUCCAAAGGUCGUAGGUUCGAUUCCCACCGUGGCCA